GGGUUCCGCUAGUUUCCUCGUGGUGUGCUCUGUUCCAGCCGGAUGUAGUGGCCUGGCCUGGCUGGAGGGGCGGCCCAGCGGGGGUCGUGCCUCCUGGAGCCGCCCCCAGGACGUGAGUCCUGGAGGAGGCGACGGAAACUCUGCUCUUAAAGACAAAGAAGAUCAGUUUGGGAGAACACCACUUAUGUAUUGCGUGUUGGCUGACAGACUAGACUGUGCAGACACUCUCCUGAAGGCCGGAGCAGAUGUUAAUAAGACUGACCAUAGCCAGAGAACGGCCCUCCAUCUUGCAGCUCAAAAGAAGAACCUGGC